rnacentral:rRNA from 1 species
AUUGAACGCUGGCGGCAGGCCUAACACAUGCAAGUCGAGCGAGCGGCGGACGGGUGAGUAAUGUAUGGGAAACUGCCUGAUGGAGGGGGAUAACUCCUGGAAACGGUAGCUAAUACCGCAUACCAUCAGAUGUGCCCAGAUGGGAUUAGCUAGUAGGUGGGGUAACUGCUCACCUAGGCGACGAUCCCUAGCUGGUCUGAGAGGAUGACCGGCAACAGUGGAACUGGGACACGGUCCAGACUCCUACGGGAGGCAGCAGUGGGGAAUAUUGCACAAUGGGCGAAAGCCUGAUGCAGCCAUGCCGAGUGUAUGAAGAAGGCCGUCGGGUUGUAAAGUACUUUCAGCUGGGAGGCGUUACCCGCAGAAGAAGCACCGGCUAACUCCGUGCCAGCAGCCGCGGUAAUAC